rnacentral:rRNA from 1 species
GGGGAAUAUUGCACAAUGGGCGCAAGCCUGAUGCAGCAACGCCGCGUGAGGGACGACGGCCUUCGGGUUGUAAACCUCUUUUAGUAGGGAAGAAGCGAAAGUGACGGUACCUGCAGAAAAAGCACCGGCUAACUACGUGCCAGCAGCCGCGGUAAUACGUAGGGUGCAAGCGUUGUCCGGAAUUAUUGGGCGUAAAGAGCUCGUAGGCGGUUUGUCGCGUCUGCUGUGAAAUCCCGAGGCUCAACCUCGGGCCUGCAGUGGGUACGGGCAGACUAGAGUGCGGUAGGGGAGAUUGGAAUUCCUGGUGUAGCGGUGGAAUGCGCAGAUAUCAGGAGGAACACCGAUGGCGAAGGCAGAUCUCUGGGCCGUAACUGACGCUGAGGAGCGAAAGCGUGGGGAGCGAAC